rnacentral:misc_RNA from 1 species
AAAAAAAAAAAAAAAAAGUGAAAACAAACAGAUUAAAGUAAACAUAAAUGAAAUCCUCAAAUCAAAGCAGACAGAGCCACAAUGUUCUGAAACUCAAAUCAAACAGAGCAACCGAUCAAUAAUAAAAUGGUGAUUAUCAAGACGAAACAUGCCAAACAAAUGGUUUCCCAAGACUCAGACCAGACACCAGUGAACACACCAAACAGAGCAACCAAUCGAUGACGGCUGGGAACAGAGCUUUGAGAAGGAGACUAGGAGAGAAUGGCUUCAACACAAACAGAGGGCUUCCGGCUUCAAUGGCAGUGGAGUGUUGAGGGCAGCGUGGAGGUGGAGUCAUGGUCUCAGGUCCAAGUCUUUUGUUUGAGGGGGGACGAAACGAGAAGGAAGAAGAAAUAGGCAAAUGGCUAUUUGGGAAAGGAGGGAGUCGUGGUCUCACGGACGAAAGGGGAGGGUAAACUGAGAGAAGAAAGAAAAAGGGAACUAGGGAUUUUGGGAAGCUGCAGAAUAUCAAUGGUGAAGGGCUAGAGAUUUUUAAUUCAUAUACACUAACCCUAGUUACUAAACGUUGUAUUUUCAUAAGAUUCAGUUCAGUUUUACCAAAAUUUUUCCUCUCAAAACCGAACUGGACAGAAUUAACUGAAAUUUAUAAAAAUAAAAACUGAAUCAAACUGAAUUUCCAUAAAAACCAAACCAAAUUUCCAAAUUUAUUUGGUUCAGCCAGUUUUCAUUUGAAUUGAAUAUUGCUCACCCCUACUACCCAUGCUGCACCCCGUCCACACAAGGCCUCGAGAAACUACAGUUUGCUAAGUCCAAGCAAUCCAAGCAACAAAUGGACCAUUCAAAGUAAAAGGGCCCUUGAUAUAGAACAAACAAAGAAGAAUAAAA